rnacentral:misc_RNA from 1 species
UAGAUUCUUUAAAAAAAUGAAUUUCUAAAUUCUAUUUGAAGUAUUACAUGGGAUAAUUGAUGCUUUUUUCAGAAUAUUAAAUUUUGUUGAGAUGUAGAAGUUUACUAUUGGUUGGUCAAAAUGUAGUUUGGACAUCACAUCUUAUGUAAUUGGUUUUGGUCUAGAAUAACUUGAAAUUUGUAAUUGUUCAUGCCAUUAGUAGGUAUUUAUAAAAUUGGCAUAAUUGGUGCUCGGCUAAAUUCUUUGUUGAUCUUGUACAGAUUCUGCCUGGGAGA